AUUAAGUGUUUAUGAAGGUGUCUCAAGAAGUCAGAGGCCUCAUGGUAGUGAGCCGUCUUACCUGGGUGGUGGAAACUCGAUGUAGACCCUCUACAAAAACAGUGGGUACUCAACCAUCUCUCCAGGCCCAUGUUGAUUUCUGUUCCAUUGCGUUUGGUUCUCUCGAGACAGGAUCUUACUCUACUGCCUUGUACUCACUGGCGGGGACUGACGAUGUAAACCAACCUGGUCUUGCUCUCACAGACCAGGUUGCCUGUUUCUUCCUCCCACGUGCUAGGAUUAAAGACAUGUGCCACCGCCACCAUGCCCAAGCUGUUUCAUUUUUAGUUUGUAAUGUUUGGUUUUGUUUUUAAUUUUUU
rnacentral:lncRNA from 1 species